rnacentral:rRNA from 1 species
UACAGAGGGUGCGAGCGUUAAUCGGAAUUACUGGGCGUAAAGCGUGCGUAGACGGUAGCGCAAGUCAGAUGUGAAAGCCCCGGGCUCAACCUGGGAACGGCAUUUGGGACUGCAAGGCUGGAGUGCGGCAGAGGAGACUGGAAUUCCUGGUGUAGCAGUGAAAUGCGUAGAUAUCAGGAGGAACACCGAUGGCGAAGGCAGGUCUCUGGGCUGACACUGACGCUCAUGCACGAAAGCGUGGGGAGCAAACAGG